AUUGAACGCUGGCGGCAGGCUUAACACAUGCAAGUCGAGCGGGGGAGGUUGCUUCGGUAACUGACCUAGCGGCGGACGGGUGAGUAAUGCUUAGGAAUCUGCCUAUUAGUGGGGGACAACAUUCCGAAAGGGAUGCUAAUACCGCAUACGCCCUACGGGGGAAAGCAGGGGAUCUUCGGACCUUGCGCUAAUAGAUGAGCCUAAGUCGGAUUAGCUGGUUGGUGGGGUAAAGGCCUACCAAGGCGACGAUCUGUAGCGGGUCUGAGAGGAUGAUCCGCCACACUGGGACUGAGACACGGACCAGACUCCUACGGGAGGCAGCAGUGGGGAAUAUUGGACAAUGGGCGGAAGCCUGAUCCAGCCAUGCCGCGUGUGUGAAGAAGGCCUUUUGGUUGUAAAGCACUUUAAGCGGGGAGGAGGCUCUUAAGGUUAAUACCCUUGAUGAGUGGACGUUACUCGCAGAAUAAGCACCGGCUAACUCUGUGCCAGCCGCCGCAGUAAAAC
rnacentral:rRNA from 1 species